GGCCAGCAGCCGCGGUAAUAUGGACGGUGCGUGCGUUAAUCGGAAUCACUGGGCGUAAAGCGUGCGUAGGCGGCGCAUCAAGUCAGACGUGAAAGCCCUCGGCUCAACCGAGGAAUUGCGUUUGAAACUGAUGUGCUAGAGUCUCGGAGAGGUUAGGGGAAUUCCAGGUGUAGGAGUGAAAUCCGUAGAUAUCUGGAGGAACACCGGUGGCGAAGGCGCCUAACUGGACGAGUACUGACGCUGAGGUACGAAGGCGUGGGGAGCGAACAGGAUUAGAUA
rnacentral:rRNA from 1 species